GGGGAGGUGGCUGAGUGGCCGAAAGCGCUGGUUUGCUAAACCAGUCUACAUUUCCUUGUAGCACGGGUUCGAAUCCCGUUCUUCCCG
rnacentral:tRNA from 1 species